rnacentral:misc_RNA from 1 species
GAAAUGCGAUAAUUAGUGUGAAUUGCAGAAUUCAGUGAAUCAUCGAGUCUUUGAACGCACAUUGCGCCCCAUGGUAUUCCGUGGGGCAUGCCCGUCUCAGCGUCAGCAAAGCCCAUCGGACCGGCUGGUUUUUUACCUGCGCCUGGUCCGGACGUUGUCAGGGAAGCGGACGGCCUCUGGUCGACCUCCCCCUGGAAAGCUACGGAUGGUGAGGUGCGCUGCCUUGUGCCGGACGUAAUAAGACUUUAUUCGCCCAGUGCCGUGCAACGCUUGACCAUCCCAGAACCCUACGGGUUCUUUGUUUUGUCCUCGGACGAUGACCACUUGACCUGAGAUCGGGUAGGGGUACCCGCUGAACUUAA